UACGGAGGGUGCAAGCGUUGCUCGGAAUUAUUGGGCGUAAAGGGUAGGUAGGUGGUCUCAUUUGUCUGGGGUGAAAGCCUUGAGCUUAACUCAAGAAGUGCCCCAGAAACGGUGAGACUGGAGUCCUGGAGAGGGGCGUGGAAUUCCCGGUGUAGCGGUGAAAUGCGUAGAGAUCGGGAGGAACACCAGAGGCGAAAGCGGCGACCUGGACAGGAACUGACACUCAACUACGAAAGCGUGGGGAGCAAACAGG
rnacentral:rRNA from 1 species